UGGCUCAGAUUGAACGCUGGCGGCAGGCCUAACACAUGCAAGUCGAACGGUAACAGGAAGAAGCUUGCUGCUUUGCUGACGAGUGGCGGACGGGUGAGUAAUGUCUGGGAAACUGCCUGAUGGAGGGGGAUAACUACUGGAAACGGUAGCUAAUACCGCAUAACGUCGCAAGACCAAAGAGGGGGACCUUCGGGCCUCUUGCCAUCGGAUGUGCCCAGAUGGGAUUAGCUUGUUGGUGGGGUAACGGCUCACCAAGGCGACGAUCCCUAGCUGGUCUGAGAGGAUGACCAGCCACACUGGAACUGAGACACGGUCCAGACUCCUACGGGAGGCAGCAGUGGGGAAUAUUGCACAAUGGGCGCAAGCCUGAUGCAGCCAUGCCGCGUGUAUGAAGAAGGCCUUCGGGUUGUAAAGUACUUUCAGCGGGGAGGAAGGGAGUAAAGUUAAUACCUUUGCUCAUUGACGUUACCCGCAGAAGAAGCACCGGCUAACUCCGUGCCAGCAGCCGCGGUAAUACGGAGGGUGCAAGCGUUAAUCGGAAUUACUGGGCGUAAAGCGCACGCAGGCGGUUUGUUAAGUCAGAUGUGAAAUCCCCGGGCUCAACCUGGGAACUGCAUCUGAUACUGGCAAGCUUGAGUCUCGUAGAGGGGGGUAGAAUUCCAGGUGUAGCGGUGAAAUGCGUAGAGAUCUGGAGGAAUACCGGUGGCGAAGGCGGCCCCCUGGACGAAGACUGACGCUCAGGUGCGAAAGCGUGGGGAGCAAACAGGAUUAGAUACCCUGGUAGUCCACGCCGUAAACGAUGUCGACUUGGAGGUUGUGCCCUUGAGGCGUGGCUUCCGGAGCUAACGCGUUAAGUCGACCGCCUGGGGAGUACGGCCGCAAGGUUAAAACUCAAAUGAAUUGACGGGGGCCCGCACAAGCGGUGGAGCAUGUGGUUUAAUUCGAUGCAACGCGAAGAACCUUACCUGGUCUUGACAUCCACGGAAGUUUUCAGAGAUGAGAAUGUGCCUUCGGGAACCGUGAGACAGGUGCUGCAUGGCUGUCGUCAGCUCGUGUUGUGAAAUGUUGGGUUAAGUCCCGCAACGAGCGCAACCCUUAUCCUUUGUUGCCAGCGGUCCGGCCGGGAACUCAAAGGAGACUGCCAGUGAUAAACUGGAGGAAGGUGGGGAUGACGUCAAGUCAUCAUGGCCCUUACGACCAGGGCUACACACGUGCUACAAUGGCGCAUACAAAGAGAAGCGACCUCGCGAGAGCAAGCGGACCUCAUAAAGUGCGUCGUAGUCCGGAUUGGAGUCUGCAACUCGACUCCAUGAAGUCGGAAUCGCUAGUAAUCGUGGAUCAGAAUGCCACGGUGAAUACGUUCCCGGGCCUUGUACACACCGCCCGUCACACCAUGGGAGUGGGUUGCAAAAGAAGUAGGUAGCUUAACCUUCGGGAGGGCGCUUACCACUUUGUGAUUCAUGACUGGGGUGAAGUCGUAACAAGGUAACCGUAGGGGAACCUGCGG
rnacentral:rRNA from 1 species